UCCGUCCUAAAAAAAAAUCAUCAGCCUCUUACCCUCUCUUGCCACUGUCGAUAAAGCUUUUCCUUGGACUUCCUCGCAUAGUCGCUCCGUCUUUACUCCCAACUGUCGAUCAAACUUCCUCCUCCCAACAAACCUCCUCUUUGACUUCGUCUCCCUUACGGCCUCACCGCGUCUUCUUCAUCUGCGCAAGCUCAUGGAGAAAACCCAGAUGCCUUAUCUGAAUCGGCACCUUUUCUCUUUCUUGCAGUGGUGCAUCGCAGUUAUCUUGUGACAAAGUUUGAAGCUGAUCAUUACGUGAGAGAAUUAAGGAGGGAGCAAGAAGAAUGAUUAAUGUACCUUAUGCUAGUAAUUCUUUUCCCUUAAUUUUUAGAAACUCAAAGGGAUAGAAAAUUCUUGAGAAACUGAAUUUAUUAAAUUUCUUGAAAAACUGAAGCUUGGGAGUUUGUAGGGAACGUCUCUGUUGUUAAUAAUGGGCCUAUGUUAUAGCACAUUGUUGGCGUGGAGUAUGUGACCUAUUAUAAUAUAUAUCUGGCACAUUUAGGUGAUGAUGUGCACCUAGGAGUUCUAUUGACACAGAUUCCUUUAUAUCGACCUGAUGAUAAUUACUGUGGUCCUCAUCUUAAUUCUCCAGUCAUUAAUUAGGUAGCAUCUUUUACCCAUAUUUUUUAAAAAAGUUUGUCUUCAGUAAGCCUAUCCCCUAUCAUGUUUUAAGGCACCAACCCUUAAUAGUCUAGUAUAGAGGUGCGCUUGAAUGCUUCUCACCAGCCAAUCUUAAAAUUACUAAUUAGUCUUUCUUUUGAUAUGUUUAGAGGGUAUCUCACAUUUCUUUAGAUAAUGACAUACGGCAAGUUACUUAUCUCAAAAGCCAUGCAGGGAAAUUCAAAACUGCAUAAAUGGAUAUCAAAGAUUUAGUUAACAAUUAGUUCGAUCGUACAGGUAUCGGAAUUAUGUUUCUGAGGAUUCAUCAAAGAGCAUAAUGGACAUUAUCAAACCUGGAAAUGGAUUUUACUAUAUAGUUCGUGAUUUUUACAGAAGCUUAUUUUGUCCGGCCAUGAUCAUGAUUAGUGCACCAUUACUUAUCUGUCCAAAUUUGAGCCCAUGAAGGAGAUAAGAACCAUAUUUUCUCAGUUCAACAUUAUCCCUAAUGGAAAAGACAGUUAAAUUAACAGCAAUGUGUAGCACACUCUACAUACCAUAAGUUGGCAACAAGGAAACUUGUAUCCCUCUUUCAUGGUACUAUCAGUUAGUAACUUGACUCUUCCAAAUUCCUCUACUCCAGAAGAUGCUUUGCUGACUCACCUAUGUUUCCUUCCAAUGCAAACACACAUAUACAAACGGUAUGCUGUGCUAUUUGUUCUUACCCUCCUUGCUGACCUUUUCUGGCCAACAAGUGGCACAAGUUUUUGGCAUUAGUUUUUGAACCUAUCAGUCAUUAUAUACAAUAAGGCACCCAUGUGUUAGAGAUAGUGAAAGGCAUGUAUGUGGACAUUCUUAUUCAAGUGGAUAUGGGGUUUCAAGUGACUUAGCUGCUGGUGAUGGCUAUGGAAGCUACAGUGGUUCAUAGUUUGGUGGUAGCAAUGCUUGUGGGCUUAUGGAAGUUAUUCUUUGGGACAAGCUGCCACUGUUAGGGAAUUGAAGAUUAAGGUGAUCAUGGAAGAAGAAAAGGAAGAGAGAAAAUAAACAAAGAAUACGGUUUAGGUAGAAGGCACUGGACUUUGCUGCCCUCAUAAGGGGUUCUGUUUGCUUCUUUUAUGUCUAGAAAACUUAAACUGUUGUAUGACGGUGGGCAAGGGCAAGGACAAUAGCAGCUAAGAUGGAUCUCAAAUGUUUUACUCCCCUCAAACAUCUUCAAGAAUGAAAGCAUGGUAUUUGCAGACUUGGUACAUUGUAGAAGAAAGAACUAGAAUAUAUAUGCUAGGCUUGUGAUGAAAAUCCUGAAUGGAAGAUUAUUAAUCAAAAUUGAUACUGGUUGGAUGUUGGAGAAGGCAAAGAAGUCAAUGUUGACUAGUGUCCAAGGGCCCAGAUUUUAGUGAUGUCAUAAUUAAUCUUGGAAAAGUGAUCCAAAUCUUGCUCCAUCUAUCUACAAGAUUUAAAGGCUGAAGACAGUUCUCUAAAUAGUUUUCUAGUUUCCCUUUAUCACCAAGAUUUUCGAGCUUGAUCUUUACACUCGUCCUUUUGUUUUGUGGAGAUGGAAAAUCAAAAGAUCAGUUUGGACUUCGGAGUAAUACGUGACUCAAUUCCUUCCUUAAGGCUCCUUUUAUGUUAAACUACAAGCUACUACAGGACUGUUUUACCCCUUUGGCAUGUUAAUAUUAUUUGGUUCCUAAUUGUGUGUUCGUUAUCGAUCA